GCCUCGCUACCCUCCGCCUUCUCUUCCCGGUUCUUCCCGGAGUCGGGAAAAGCUGGGUUGAGAGGGCGAAAAAAAGGGGGAA
rnacentral:pre_miRNA from 11 species